UACAGAGGUCUCGAGCGUUAGGCGGAAUCACUGGGCUUAAAGCGUGUGUAGGUGGAUGCCUAAGUACCUUGUGAAAUCCCACAGCUUAACUGUGGAACUGCUUGGUAUACUGGGUGUCUUGAGUCACUCAGGGGCGAGCGGAACAAAUGGUGGAGCGGUGAAAUGCGUAGAUAUCAUUUGGAACGCCAAUGGUGAAAACAGCUCGCUGGGGGUGUGCUGACGCUGAGACACGAAAGCCAGGGGAGCAAACGGGG
rnacentral:rRNA from 1 species